AACGCAUAUUGCACUCUUUGGUAUUCCGAGGAGUAUGCCUGUUUCAGUAUCAUGAAAUCUCUCAUCAAAUCAAAUUUUUUUUGAAAUGAUGGAUCUGGACUUGCAGUUAUUAUGAUUGCUAGUUUAAAAUGAAUUUCAUGAAGCUUAUGUGCUUUGAUUAAAGCUUAAUAGUUUUGGUUUCGGCCAAAUCUUAGCUUUUUAUCAAGUACGGUGAAUUGAUUUUACGAAUCUUUUCAUAAUUUGAUCUGAAAUCAGGUAGGGCUACCCGCUGAACUUAA
rnacentral:misc_RNA from 1 species